rnacentral:rRNA from 1 species
AGUGAACGCUGGCGGUAGGCCUAACACAUGCAAGUCGAACGGCAGCACAGUAAGAGCUUGCUCUUACGGGUGGCGAGUGGCGGACGGGUGAGGAAUACAUCGGAAUCUACUUUUUCGUGGGGGAUAACGUAGGGAAACUUACGCUAAUACCGCAUACGACCUACGGGUGAAAGCAGGGGAUCUUCUGACCUUGCGCGAUUGAAUGAGCCGAUGUCGGAUUAGCUAGUUGGCGGGGUAAAGGCCCACCAAGGCGACGAUCCGUAGCUGGUCUGAGAGGAUGAUCAGCUACACUGGAACUGAGACACGGUCCAGACUCCUACGGGAGGCAGCAGUGGGGAAUAUUGGACAAUGGGCGCAAGCCUGAUCCAGCCAUACCGCGUGGGUGAAGAAGGCCUUCGGGUUGUAAAGCCCUUUUGUUGGGAAAGAAAAGCAGCAGGUUAAUACCCCGCUGUUCUGACGGUACCCAAAGAAUAAGCACCGGCUAACUUCGUG